ACAAAAAAAGAAGAAAAUGUCAUUGUCAGCUGUCAAUGUUAACAAAAAAAUAAGAAAAUGUCAUUGUCAGCUGUCAAUUUGUAACAAAACAUUAAACGCCAACAAAGUUGAAGAAAACUGUAUUGUUAAAUUUGAAUUGUUUAAUUACUGCAUAGUAGGUGGCACUAGCAAUAAAUAUAAAAAUUAUGUCACACUUUAAAAAUCCCUAGAUUUCAAAGAUAAAUCGAGAAAAAUCCCUCCUGUACCGAUGCCCGUACGGUCCAGGUUUGGUUAGGUUAGGUCCAUUACCCCACAAAAAUGAGGAGCGCCUAAAAGGAGGACUUCGCAGAUCGUGCCGUGACGUCACACGUAACAGAUAAGGAGUGACCUCAUACGGUCAAACGUCACCAAUUAUGUCAAAGUCAGAUGUUGCAAUGUUGGUGAUUUAAUUAAACUGAUUUUUGUGUUUAUUUUUAUUGCAACUUCUAAUAAAUUAUACAAUAUCGAUUCACAUAAUAAUAAUCAAGAUGAUUUUAUUUUCAUUGUGGAAGAAGGAAAUGUAUGUAAAUCAGAAUUAAUAAAAAUAAUUAUAUAAAAUCAUGAAGUAGACACACAAUAAUCAGAAAACAAUAUUGUUUUAAAAAGAAAACAUUCAAAAAUAUGGAUUGGUGAAGAAGUAAAAACAAAAUGAAAAAGUUUACUGAAGAGUUUGAACAAGAGGUUAAUCAGUUUUAAAUAAAUAUAUCUAUUAUAUUACCUACAUAGUUGAAAACUUUUGAUAUAUAUUGCAAUCAUGUAGAUGGAAUCCCGCAUUCUUUAAGAAAAAAAAAGCAAUUUCCAGAAGGAUAUAAUAAGAAGCAAUAAUAAAAUAAAGUAGAUAAUGCAAGAAAGAACAAAGCCAUUAUUUAACAUAGCUCAACAACUUCACAUAGAAAAAGAUGAGGAAAGGGCACAACAGAA